CUCUUCCUCUUCCUCUUCCUCUUCCUCUACCCGACGAAGAAGCAUAGUCUGGUCUGCAACUGAGAGACGACGAUACGAUCAUGGCGGGAGCGGGAGAGCGCGAUGGAGAAGAAGAAGAAGAGGAGAUAGUUUGCUUAGAGGCCUCCUUCUUCAUCAACGAUAACUACGAGCUGAAGAAAUUUACAUUCGGCUCACAUUCCUUCGAGCUCUAUUGCCUGCAAUCUGCUUCGAGUACUUCGGUUAUUGGGAAAUGCAUUGCUUCAACCUUUCGGCCCUCUUGCUUUCGCAGACUUUGCCAUCUUUGCAUCCGAAAAGCUGACUUCGAUCUAACGGGUCAGUUGGUGUGGCCGGGGGCUAUGCUGUUAAAUGAAUACCUUUCGAAGAAUGUUGACCUUCUCAAGGGGUGUUCUGUUAUUGAACUAGGCUCUGGGGUUGGUAUAACUGGAAUACUCUGUAGUAGAUUCUGCCGUGAAGUCGUGCUCACUGAUCACAAUGAUGAAGUCCAGAAGAUUCUGAAGAAAAAUAUAGAGCUGCAUUCUUCUAAGGAUCAUAGUCAUCAUGCUGAACUAGUGGCUGAGAAGCUGGAAUGGGGAAACUCUGAUCAGAUUAAUCAAAUUCUUAGAAGACGUCCGGGAGGAUUCGAUCUUAUUCUCGGAGCAGAUAUAUAUAUCCUUGUUCUCGGAAAUGCUAUAAUGUGCAUAUUUACUAGCUUGAGAAGCACCAUCAAGGGGUAGUGUUCCCUUACUUUUUGACACAGUGAAGCAGCUGCUCCAAGUACGGGAAAGAGAUUGCUGCAAAUUCAUACUGGCCUACGUUUCUCGAGCUAAGAUCAUGGACUCACUAGUAGUCAGCGAAGCUAUUAGGCAUGGAAUGCAGAUUAAUGAGAUACCGGGGACCCGAUCUGUAGUUGGCAAUCUGGAAGGUGUAAUCUUUGAAGUUACUCUCUUAGAGAAAUCCCCAAUGUAGUUUUGGAGAUGUGCUACACUACAUGGAAAAUUUAUUUAUUCUCCAUGGAGGCAUCAGGCUAAAAUCAGGUCUCCAACAUAUUGAGCUUACAGAGUAGGCUUGGAAUUUUACGAAGAUGAAGAUAUGAGGCAAAAGCUAAGCGUAUGAUGUGUCUCCAUAUUUAGUCUACGACUUACUAUAGUUUUUCUUGUGUCUCCCGGCGAAUUGUUUUAUGUUUGAUUAUUAGACAAUAGUCCUUAUUGUUUGUAGUAUCGCCCCAAAAGAACGGCAUGGCAGGGAAAUUUCUGUAAGGUUGAAGUGUUGAAAUUUUUGGCUGCAACAUUUGGAAGCGUUCUCUUGACAA